AGAGUUUGAUCAUGGCUCAGAAUCAACGCUGGCGGCGUGCCUCAGACAUGCAAGUCGAACGCGAAAGUUUCCUUCGGGAAGCGAGUAGAGUGGCGCACGGGUGAGUAACACGUAGGUUAUCUACCUCUAAGUGGGGAAUAACCAUCGGAAACGAUGGCUAAUACCGCAUAAUACCGAAAGGUCAAAGCUUUAUGUGCUUAGAGAGGAGCCUGCGGCAGAUUAGGUAGUUGGGAAGGUAAUGGCUUACCAAGCCUGCGAUCUGUAUCCGGUCUGAGAGGGCGGUCGGACACACUGACACUGAAGAACGGGUCAGACUCCUACGGGAGGCAGCAGUCGGGAAUUUUGGGCAAUGGGCGAAAGCCUGACCCAGCAACGCCGCGUGAAGGAUGAAGUCUUUCGGGUCGUAAAGCCCUUUUGCCACUGACGAGCACGGACGGUAGGUGGCGAAUAAGUCUCGGCUAACUACGUGCCAGCAGCCGCGGUAAUUC
rnacentral:rRNA from 1 species